GGUGAAUUUUGAAAGGUGAAUUUUGAAUUUUGAAAGGUGAAUUUUGAAUUUCGAAAGGUGAAUUUUGAAAGGUGAAUUUCAAAGAUGGAUUUUUGAGAGGUGAAUCCCGGAGGAUGAAAUUUGAAGGGUCAAUCCUGAAGGUUCCGUCCCGACGAGUCAAAUUUUAGGGGUGAAUUUUGAGAGGUGAAUCUUGAAGGGCGAAUCCCGACAGGUGAAUUUUGAGAGGUGAAUCCCGACAGGUGAAAUUUCAAAGGUGGAUUUUUGAGAGGUGAAUCCCGACAGGUGAAUUUUGGGAGGUGAAUCCUGAAGGGUGAAUCCCGACAGGUGAAAUUUGAGAGGUGAAUCCUGACAGGUGAAUCCUGAAGGACGAAUCCUGACAGGUGAAAUUUGAAAGGUGAAUCCCGACAGGUGAAUUUUGGGAGGUGAAUCCUGACAGGUGAAUUUUGAAGGGCGAAUCCUGACAGGCGAAUCCUGCAGGGCGAAUCCCGAAGGGUGAAAUUGGAAAUGUGAAUCCUGACAGGUGAAUUUUGGGAGGUGAAUCCUGAAGGGCGAAUCAUGACAGGUGAAUCCCAACAGGUGAAUCCCGACAGGUGAAAUUUGAGAGGUGAAAUCUGAAGGAUGAAUUUUGAAGGACGAAUCCUGACAGGUGAAAUUUGAAAGGUGAAUCCUGACAGGUGAAUUUUGAAAGGUGAAUCCCGAAGGGUGAAUUUUCAAGGAUAAAUCCUGAAGGGCGAAUCCCGACAGGUGAAAUUUGAGAGGUGAAAUCUGAAGGAUGAAUUUUGAAGGGCGAAUCCUGAAGGGCGAAUCCCGACAGGUGAAUUUUGAAGGGCGAAUCCCAACAGGUGAAAUUGGAAAUGUGAAUCCUGACAGGUGAAUUUUGGGAGGUGAAUCCUGAAGGGCGAAUCCUGAAGGGCGAAUCAUGACAGGUGAAUCCCAACAGGUGAAUCCCGACAGGUGAAUUUUGAAGGGUGAAUCCCGACAGGUGAAAUUUGAGAGGUGAAUCCCGAAGGGUGAAUUUUCAAGGAUGAAUCCUAAGGGU